rnacentral:rRNA from 1 species
UACGGAGGGUGCAAGCGUUGUCCGGAUUUAUUGGGUUUAAAGGGUGCGUAGGCGGCCAUUUAAGUCUGGGGUGAAAGCCCGUUGCUCAACAACGGAACUGCCCUGGAAACUGGAUGGCUUGAGUACAGACGAGGGUGGCGGAAUGGAUGCUGUAGCGGUGAAAUGCAUAGAUAGCAUCCAGAACCCCCGAUUGCGAAGCAGACGUGC